GCGAAAGCUGACGCAUUACGCCGCGUGGGUGAUGAAGGUCUUCGGAUUGUAAAACCCUGUCGUUAGGGACGAAGACUAAAUCCUAAUACGAUUUAUGUUUGACGGUUACCUAGAAAGGAAGCCCCGGCUAACUCUGUGCCAGCAGCCGCGGUAAUACAGAGGGGGCAAGCGUUAUUCGGAAUUAUUGGGCGUAAAGGGUGCGUAAGCGGUUUUUUAAGUCAGAUGUGUAAUCCCCGAGCUCAACUUGGGAACUGCAUCUGAAACUGGAAAACUAGAGUGCUGGAGAUGAUGGUGGAAUUCCACGUGUAGCGGUGAAAUGCGUAGAGAUGUGGAGGAACACCAGUGGCGAAGGCGGCCAUCUGGACAGUAACUGACGCUGAAGCACGAAAGUGUGGGUAGCACACAGGAUUAGAUACCCUGGUAGUACACAACGUAAAACGAUGAACACUUGGUGUAGUGGGCGUUGAACCCCACUGUGCCGUAAGCUAACGCGAUAAGUGUUCCGCCUGGGGAGUACGGUCGCAAUGCUGAAACUCCAAGGCAU
rnacentral:rRNA from 1 species